UCUAAAUAUACACCUUGCCCUGACUUCGUCGUGCACGCCGUUACAACCCCUCGUCGCACACGCCGCAACUCUUCUUUCCACGUAGCAUGCCACACGCUGCCGCCAAGUUUUUUCAAGGUAACCUUCUCUAUCGACUUGGUGCUAGAUAAAUGAUAUGGGGUUCGUGAGGCGGGGUUUUCUAGCAUAGGGGAUUACAAGAGCUUUACAAUGAUUGCUGAAACAUAGACCAUACUGAUAAGCUUUGAACAUUCUCUAAUUACAUGAAAUCGAUUCAAAGAAAAACAAUUUGAAACGACGGAUACCGAAAUCAAUUCAACCAAAAUCGUCAACAUAGUCGAAGUAGAAGAAGGUCUUUUUCUUUCAUUACACUCCUAUGGCCGACGAUUUAUAGCGUAUAAUUCUUCUCUAUUGUUGCUUUCAAAUUUCAAUCUGUGAUGCAGUGUACUUGGGAGUAGAAGACGUGGUACGGUGGGAGAAAUGGAACAAUCAAAGAUAUGGUUGUUAGAAGUUUUCCUUUUUUACAAUGAUAGAGAAUAUGUCUAUGAUUGAAGAAUAUGGGAAGCUACCAAGACUUACUAUUGUAUUACAAAGGUCGUGAACCAAGAAAGAGCAACUUCUUAAACUUCUCCUUCCGCUUCAACUGAAGCUCUUGCAUGAGCCUGUUGUUUGAGGAGAAUAAAUACUUCAAUCUUGUACCAGGCAGGUUUUGAACAUCAUGAGUUGGAUGGAAGUCACAAGAGAUCGUUCGGAAUAAGUCAUUCUACGGGAGAAGAGUCGGACCGAUUAGUUGUUUCGGUGUGAAUUUAUUCUAAUUCAACCCAGCCCAACUAAUAUUUAUGAAAGUAUGCUUUAUAAGUAUUACCUUUCACCAAAAUAUAAGAUGAAUGUCGGAUGACAAUCACAUAUAUACAUAUACCACGUAGAAGUAUAUACUUUGUAGACAACUUGCAUCAUUAAACCAAACUUAAGUUAAAGUUUGCAAACAAUUAGUUUCCAAGACAAACUUUGAGUUUGAAAACAAUAUAGAAAGGUCAAGAAAUAUGUCCAAGACAAACUUCACUUCCACUUUAGUUAGGGCACUCAAUUCUUGUAAUUCUCUCUCAAAUUCAUCAAUAAAACUCUCUCCUUUAAUCCAUCAA